rnacentral:lncRNA from 1 species
AUUGGAAAAAGCAAGAGAAAGAAAAGAAGUAGAUAAGAGAGGAGAGAUGGAAGAAAGAAAAGAAGUAGAUAAGAGAGGAGAGAAGAGAUCCAAGGAAGAGGUCUUCGGAGAAGAGAAGAAGUAAGAGGUACAAGAAGGGAGCGAAGGCAAAGCAUAGAUACGCCUCAGGUCAAAUGUGCCGUGCUCUGUUUAGCCAAGCCAUCCGCUACUCUACUCCUUUUUCUAAUGGCAGGAGAUAAAAAGUAUUUUUCUCUUCUUUUUUUUGAUCAAAUAUAUAUAUAUAUUUUAUAGACGGUAUUAUAUUUAAGUUUUAAG